GCUUCCUUCAUGUAUUUAAAAGACAACUGCAUGGGGAAGUAGAGCAAAGGCAGCACAGAGGCCGCCACGCCCUGCCAGGCCUCCCCAGGCACUGCCAUGGGCAUCAAAUUUUUAUAAGUUAUCAAACCUUUUUGUGCAGUUCUACCAGAAAUUCAGAAACCUGAAAGGAAAAUCCAGUUUAGAGAGAAGGUAUUAUGGACUGCUAUAACUCUCUUCAUUUUCUUAGUGUGCUGUCAGAUACCACUAUUUGGAAUCAUGUCAUCAGAUUCUGCAGAUCCUUUCUACUGGAUGAGAGUUAUUCUUGCAUCCAACAGAGGAACUUUAAUGGAAUUGGAUAUCUCCCCAAUUGUCACAUCUGGUUUGAUUAUGCAGUUGUUAGCUGGAGCCAAAAUCACUGAAGUUAGAGAUAGACCCAAAGAUAGAGCUUUAUUCAAUGGAGCCCAGAAACUAUUUGGUAUGAUCAUUACCACUGGGCAAGCCAUUGUGUAUGUCAUGACGGGGAUGUACAGGGACCCUGCAGAAAUGGGUGCUGGGAUCUGUCUUCUUAUCAUUAUUCAGUUGUUUGUAGCUGGUUUGAUUAUGCUGCUGUUAGAUGAGCUGCUACAGAAGGAUUACGGCUUGGGGUCUGGUAUUUCCCUCUUUAUUGCCACCAACAUCUAGGAGACCAUUGUCUAGAAGGCCUUUAGUCCCACUACCAUUAACACUGGUAGAGGUACCGAAUUUGAGGUGGCAGUCAUAGCUCUGUUUCAUCUGUUAGCCACCAGGACAAAGUCUGAGCUUUAUGGGAGGCUUUUUAUCGGCAGAACGUACCCAAUCUCAUGAAACUCACUGCUACAGUUUUUGUGUUUGCUGUUAUUAUAUAUUUUCAGGGAUUUCGUUUUGACUUGCCCAUUAAGUCGGCCCGCUAUCGAGGACAGUACAGCAGCUAUCCCAUCAAGCUCUUCUACACCUCAAACAUUCCCAUUAUUCUCCAGUCUGCCUUAGUUUCCAACCUGUAUGUUAUUUCCCAGAUGCUAUCUGUUCAAUUUAGUGGCAACUUUUUAGCAAAUUUACUGAGACAGUGGGCCGAUGUCAGCGGGGGAGGACCUGCUCAUUCGUACCCAGUUGGAAGCCUGUGUUACUACCUUUCUCCUCCUGAGUCCAUGCGUGCCAUAUUUGAGGAUCCUGUCCAUGUAGUUGUUUAUGUCAUCUUCAUGUUGGGAUCAUGUGCAUUCUUUUCUAAGACAUGGCUAGAGGUGUCUGGUUCCUCAGUCAAAGAUGUAGCCAAAUAGCUUAAAGAACAGCAAAUGGUAAUGAGGGGUCACAGAGAUACCUCUAUGGUCAUGAGCUUAAUAGGUACAUCCCCACAGCAGCUGCAUUUGGCAGUUUGUGCAUUGGCGCCCUGUCAGUGUUAGCCGACUUCCUAGGGGCCAUUGGCUCUGGUACUGGAAUUCUGCUUGCAGUCACUAUUAUUUAUCAGUAUUUCGAAAUAUUUGUUAAGGAACAGGCCGAAGUUGGCGGGAUGGGUGCUUUGUUUUUCUAAACAUUCAAAUAUUUCUUUUUGUGCGUAUGAAAGGGAAAUAUUUUGACACUUUUUUUUCAAAUAAUGCUGGUGAUUCCCUUCCCCCCUCACAGUUUGUCUUCAAGUGCUGACUGUCCCACUUCUGAAAUGGGCACCGAGCUAAGCCUGUGUACAGCAUUAGUCCAGCUGCCUUAAAACUAAAGUUUACAUUAUUCAUUACAAAAUAUACAUCUAGUGUUGCCUGUAA